CGCCGCGCUCGGCAAGGCCGGACGGGCCCGGUGUGGCCCUUCCGGCCUUGCCGAGCGCGGCGGGCCGUAGCGGGGCCGCCCCCGGGGGAACCGUGAGGGGUUUUGUGCCGCUUUCACGGCCCUUAGUGCUGUUUCUAUGGUUUAACAGGCCCGCCUGUGGAAACGACCCUUUCCUAAUACCAUAAAAACCCCCAUUUUAUCCAUGUGGCGGUUCAAAGGUGUGGCAAAGACUGUGUAAUAAACGGGGGGGGUGGGGUGGUAAAGCCCUCAUUCCUUAGCACAGUUCAGAGUGGGGGGGGACAGCAUCUGAUUAGCCAGUUAAAUAAAUGCACAAUAAUAUGCACAAUAAAUAAGGCAGAGCUGUGAUAUUCCUAGCUCCUGUGUAACUUUUUUUCUUCUGCAGACAGUGUCCUCUGGCAUUUUUUGUGCAUAAGUAGGUAAAUAGACUGUAAAAAUCAGUAAUAGAUGCUGUGAAGAUUUGGGGAGAAGAGCGGUUUCACAAUUAAAACACUGGCAGAGCAUCCGCUGUGUCAGAGAAGUGGAAUGGACCCCGUGAGGAGCAGAAAUACCCGGUCUGUGGAAAUGUCCUGCAAAACCUUCUGAAAAAUCGAGGCUUUUCUAAAUAAUACUGUGGCAUGAAUGGCUCUGCACCCUCCCGGGUCAGAUCUUUGACUGAGAUUCCCACAGCCACCAUCAAAGACUUCUUACAGGACUUCACACGGCUGUCCUUUGGAACGCUGGAUGGGGAGCAGGUCCUUUCUCUGAGCCUGAGCCUGAGCCCAGGGCUGGCUUCUCAGACGGAGGUGUGA
rnacentral:lncRNA from 1 species